rnacentral:tRNA from 2 species
GUUCUUGUAGUUGAAUUACAACGGUGGUUUUUCAAGUCACAAGUCCUGGUGAAAAUCCUGGCAGGAAUU